GCCCCAUUUCUCGAUCUCUUUGGUUGUACAAAGUGGUAUGGCAAUUUCAUUAAAAAUGCUCAUACCGCUUUUCAGCUGAAGGAAUCGUGUUUGUGGGUAAUUAG
rnacentral:pre_miRNA from 13 species